AAAAAAAAAAAAAAGGCUAAAUAUCCACAUAUCCAUACAUGAGAGAAGUUCAGGGUGAAGGCACAGGUGAACGCCGAUGGGGUGUCUCUGGUGACGAGCUUACAGGGGCUUUUGUGCAUUUUCCCAAUCCCACGGGGAACCUGUUGAAUUCUGAAGCUGAGACCGGUGUACGCGUUCUAGAGAACGGUUCUCUAAGCACAGACGCUGCCUUCUAACCAUGGCGAGGAGGGUGCCCGGAGCCAAGGGAGGUGGCCCCAGCGAGCUGCGUGGCCAGCCUCACCCCGCAGCAGAGGCAGGUGGUCAGUCUUCACCCGCAGUCAUGGGGUGGGUGGAGAGGGAGAGGGUGCAGAGAGGGGCCUGUGCCCGUCCCUUGGCACAGCUGUUCUCCACUUGGUCUCUCCCUUGGUGGCCGCUGGUUGCCGACUAACCGGGUGCCCUUUGUGGGUUCUUCCUCUGCAGAGGCUGCUGGGCUUGGCUGCUGGGUUGUACUUCCUGCGGUGAGGGAGGAGGACACUCCACUGCAGCGGGGCCAUUUGGGUUCGAAGCUCCUGCUGGAGCUUCCCUUCCUCAGCUUCCUGCUGGGCGUCUUGCUGUGAGGGAGCUGCGUCAGAGUUUUUGGUAGAUGCUACUGUAGACCUCAUAUCCGAUGAGUGGGAAGCUGCUCAUGCCAUACCCCGCAAGAGAAGGAAGCAGGACGCAGCCCCGCUUGAGGCCGCCGGCGUGCCUUCUGCAGACUGUGAGCAG